rnacentral:rRNA from 1 species
UACGUAGGUGGCGAGCGUUGUCCGGAUUUACUGGGCGUAAAGAGCGCGCAGGCGGUCGUACAAGUCGCGUGUGAAAGCCCCCGGCUCAACUGGGGAGGGUCACGCGAUACUGUUCGACUCGAAGGCAGGAGAGGGAAGUGGAAUUCCCGGUGUAGUGGUGAAAUGCGCAGAUAUCAGGAGGAACACCGAUGGCGAAGGCAGCUCGCUGGGACGGUACUGACGCUGAGGCGCGAAAGCGUGGGGAGCAAACAGG